AGCAAAUAUUUUGUAUACUGUGGAUUCAUUAUUAUUGUUGGAUACAAGUUUUUGUGGUUUUGUAGCAUUUACCAUUGUACCACAAAUCAAAUGUUCAACAAAUUACAAAUUUUCUAUAGGGUUUGCAUGGAAAGACUGGCAAAACCACGAAAUCAAAUAUCCAUGAAAAACCAAGUUUUCUCCCUUAAUAUCAUAUCAUACUGAAAAUUGAUACCCACUAAAAUAAAUAAAUUCACAGCUACAUAAAAUAAUUUAGCAGUUAAACUUCCUUGUUUGGUUCUCAAAUGUUUUGAUUUGAGUGCCUCUGAUGAGUAAUUGUGUGGAUAAAAUAUGGUGUUUUUUAUUGUGGUUCCCAGGCCCGUAGCCAGGAAUUUCCAAGGGGGGGUGGGGUUUGUUGGACUCAUGAACUCGACUUUAACAGUCGCAAUUUGAACAAAACGUUGACUUUAACAGUGCAGUGGCGGAUCCGGGGGG
rnacentral:lncRNA from 1 species